rnacentral:lncRNA from 1 species
GGGCACAGAGGCUCCCUUGUCUUGCUUAGUUUUGAUACACAGACUCUCCUAGAUGUUUUAAAAAUAGUAGAGGAGGGGGUUUUCAGAAAAAAUGGUUUUCAGAAAACAUGGGCAUUUUGUAGGACCCAGAUGCCUGAUACCUGCAAUGUACUCAUGGACCAGAGGGAAGACACCAGUUUUCCUGUUUUCUGUAGGAGCCUUCCUGGCCAGCUGUGGGUGGACAAGGGCAGGCAAGGACCGACCCUCAGGCACCGGAUGCCUGUGUUUUGUAGCCUAGGAACCUGGCUGUCUCUUCUGCAGCUUGGGUUCUGGGAAAAUGGUAUUGUGGAAUUUCUCAAAUAUGUUCCAAAAUAAGCUUGGAGAAUGUUCUAGAACCAUGGUCUCAGGGGAGGAAGAGCUCAGGUUGAGGAGCUGAAGAUGCGGGUUCAGUCCUGGUUCCAGAGAUUGCUUCCCCUCUAGAUCUGGGCAAGUUCCUUACUUCCAAAACCCUGUUUCAUGACUGGUAAAUCAGGAGUGUUGAUGCUUGUGUCAAGCCCAGCAUACUUUGAGGCACACAGUAGGUCCACCUAAGGGAAUAAUGCUCCUCUUCUCUGUGGAGUGUCCAGUGCAACAGUAGCUUCCUUCUACUUGGAAAUGAGCUAAGGGGGGAGCUAAGGGAAUGAGAAUAACUCCAGGUCUGAGAACAUGGAGUAGUUGGUGUCAGUACUC